UCAACACACAACUGCUCUGCGCAAACUCUCUCAACAACUUUGAGAUUUUUUAUUUUCUCUUUUCGCUGACACAUCGUCCGUUGGCAUCAACAGCACUGUGAAAGCAACCUGUGAUAUCUUCAGUCGGCAUAGAUAGCUCUGUCGCCGUAGAAUCAGCUGAUCUCGCAACAUCUUCCGUUGGCAUCAACAGCACUGCGGCGAGGACGGUUGGUUAUCUAUCCAAGUCUCGGUCGAAAAGGAUUUUCGAAUCCUUAUUGGUUGAGGUAAUCUCAUUAGCCUUUUCAGCGAAAUGAGGUGUUACAAGUUAUUACAUUUGGCAUAUUGAAAGCCGAAUUUGAUAUUGAACUUCGUAGAACUAGCAGCCUUGUCUUUAGGCUUUAGAACCCGAAGGCCAAGAGUGUUCCUUCCUCGGUCGCAGUCCCGAGAUGCAGAAGUCAGCAGUGCCCCCAACGCAAUAUCAACAAAUUUUACUCCUCGGUCGAGCUCGGUCGACGAGUUGGCAAGCCCCGCAUACAACCGAAAGACGUAGUUAACUUACUAAUUACUCGGCCUGCGCGCCACGUAGGCUUGGUAGUUUUUAGGGUCAACAUUUUGGCACACCCAGUGGGACACAGUGCUAAAACUACGAAGUUCACAUGAUCUAUCUCGAUCAAGCUUCAUGGGAUGAGUGUCAUCGCCUAUUACAUAAGCAAAAACAACUCCUCAAGAGAUUGGGAAGAAUUUCUGAAAGGCAAGAGGCCGAGGGCAAAUUUCCGCUCCGGCCACAACCAAUAUUCGGCCUAAGAAAAUUGUUAAUUUUGCCAAAGAAUAAAGGCCACCUAUUUUUUUGGUCGAGGUUGAAAAUAUGGUCGGCCAAGACGAAAAACCUAGGCCAUCUAUUUUUUUGGUCGAGACUGAAAGUGUGGCAGGCCUAGAAGGAAAAAUUCAAGUUUCUAAGCCACAAAUCGACUCAGAAAAUGAUUCAAUAGAAAUGUGUUCCGAUGACGAACAAGGCCGAGACGUAGGCCUAGUCGAAAAAGCCACGCCAAUCGAUAUGAUUAUUGGUGAUAAAGCCGAUAUGGAGAAAUCCCAUUUGGCUAAGUUGUUCGAGUUGAAAGCCGAAAUUGGCGAAAUUAUUAUGCCCUGGGGGCAUACUAAUUGUUCAACACAUUCGAUGGCCGAUGUUAAAAAAUCUUUUGUCAAGCUGAGCAUAUUUGGAGAUGAUUUUUUAUUCGGCUCAAUGCAAAUUUUGAUUGGCUGUGUUGAUAUACAAAGAUCUCGGCUUGGAAUAAAACAUCGUUGGCCUCAUCUUCUUUAUUAGUUCGGCCACUUUUGUUUUCUUUUAUUAAAAACAUGAAUAAAUUAUUUUCAUAAUCAUCUGGCUAAUUAAGCCGAUACUUAAGAAAAUAUAGGGGGCAACGAGAUGGGGUAGAUUAAAAAAAAAAUCGGCCGAAUGAAAGAAAGUUUGGCCAAAUACAAUGCAGUUAGCUGAAUAUAAUAGGUUAUAUAUAUAUACAUAUGUGUGUGUGUGUGUGCGCGCGCGCCUAUUGCAUCACCCAAUCCUCCUCGUCCUCGACCUCAGCCCACUUUACAAAAUAAUAUAUAUAUAUAUAUAUAUAUAUAUAUAUAUAUAUAUAUAUAUGUUUGCUUCCAAAGUCACUUUCAAUCAUGUGAGGUGUUGUCAGAAUUCAUUGGAAAGUUGAAGUUUUAGGGCCGAGCUUGGCCAACACGUCGCGGUAUAUAUAUAUAUAUAUAGAGGCAGGCCAAGCUGUCAAAGAUUUUUCUCGGCCUCUUUUCCCCCCAACUUUUCUCGACCUACAUCACACAUGCCGAGCUCGGCGAGGUAUUAUUGCAGGGUGCUGGUGCUCGACCGUGAGGUCAUUCGGCCUGCCAUGUAUGUAUAUAUAUAAAUUUCUAUGGCCAUUUAGCUUUGGACUACGGGUGCGGCCUGCCAUGUUAUAUAUAUAUAUGUAUGUAUAUCUGCAUAUAGAGAUGUUGUUGCCGAGGAUCAAAGUUUUUUUCAGCGAUACGGGAUUUUGCUGGCUGAAAAUAAUUAAUUUCCUUAACCAUUCGGCUUAAGAGCCGAAGCUCUAGGAAAUUGGGGGGCAAUGUUUGGACCCAAUUUUACACUAUUGGUUCGUGCGAUCAAAGUCGUUGAUGAAGAUGGCUCACAACCGUUGGAUGACACGAUAGUUAAGAUAAUUAUUAUUGAAAGAUAUAUUGUGGUUUCAAUCAUGAUAUUAUCUUUUAAUGGUGAAUUAUCUUGACAUUUUUUUUAUACGGAAUAAAUGAGUUUCAAAUUAUCUCUAAUUUAGAAGCGAUAACAGAGUUCAAGUGUAAGGCCGCGGAGAGACUUUUAUUUGGAGAUCGAUUCUGUGCAAAAGAGUCCAGUUCAGAUAAAUUGGCAAUGGGAAUGGCGUUUUGAUGAAUGGCAUGCAUGUCCUUAAUGUGUUAUUAGUUAAACACGUGGCCCAGUUUGCGAGAGAAGAUUAUCUAGAGUUAAGUUGUUGGGUUAAUUCAGUUGAUAUGCAUGCACGACAGUAGAGAUUGAUGACUUGUGGUGAUGGUGUUGUCAGAUUGAGUAUAGGAUCAUAAAAAUUGAUGAUGGGGUUACAGUGUCCAUGCCCUGUGAAAGACUACCAACUAUAUAUAUAUAUAUGUAUGUAUGUAUGUAUGUAUGUAUCUAUGUAAUAGAUGGUUGUUUAGAUAAAUAUUAUUUGUUCAAAGCCAAGCAUGCAGGUUAUCUUGGUAAUCUUAAUGGGAUAAAGCAUGGUUACUGAUGGGUUUUGAUAAAGAGAUGAGAAGCCUAGGUGGCCUAGAAAUGUGAUGUGAUAAGCCUAGUUGGACUUUUAUUAAGUUUGAAAAGUCUUGGAACAAAUCUCACAGCUCAGUUUGAAGGAUAUGCCCUGGUUUUGGGUUACAGAUACAGAUCAACUUCAGGAAUUAGAGUUGCAAUUAAACUCUGCAACAUCAUCUGACCGUGCAGAGCAAGUACUUCAGUGCUAUAAAUACAGUGCAGUGGCAACGAAAAAAAGGACCUCCAAUUCAACACACAACUGCCCUGUGCAAACUCUCUCAACAACUUUGAAAUUUUUUAUUUUCUCUUUUCGCUGACACAUCUUCCGUUGGCAUCAACAACACUGUGAAAGCAACCGGUGAUAUCUUCAGUCAGCAUAGAUAACUUUGUCACCGUAGAAUCAGCUGAUCUCGCAGCAUCUUCCGUUAGCAUCAACAGCACUGCGACGGGAUGGUUGGUUUUCUAUCCAAGUCUCGGUCAAGAAGGAUUUUCGAAUCCUUAUUGGUCAAGGUCAUCUCAUUAGCCUUCUC
rnacentral:lncRNA from 1 species